rnacentral:rRNA from 1 species
CCUACGGGGGCAGCAGUGGGGAAUAUUGCACAAUGGGCGCAAGCCUGAUGCAGCCAUGCCGCGUGUGUGAAGAAGGCCUUCGGGUUGUAAAGCACUUUCAGCGGGGAGGAGGGCGGUGAGGUUAAUAACCUCAUCGAUUGACGUUACCCGCAGAAGAAGCACCGGCUAACUCCGUGCCAGCAGCCGCGGUAAUACGGAGGGUGCAAGCGUUAAUCGGAAUUACUGGGCGUAAAGCGCACGCAGGCGGUCUGUCAAGUCGGAUGUGAAAUCCCCGGGCUCAACCUGGGAACUGCAUUCGAAACUGGCAGGCUAGAGUCUUGUAGAGGGGGGUAGAAUUCCAGGUGUAGCGGUGAAAUGCGUAGAGAUCUGGAGGAAUACCGGUGGCGAAGGCGGCCCCCUGGACAAAGACUGACGCUCAGGUGCGAAAGCGUGGGGAGCAAACAGGAUUAGAUACCCCUGUAGUC